rnacentral:rRNA from 1 species
GACGAACGCUGGCGGCGUGCUUAACACAUGCAAGUGGUGCGACGAACCAGGCUUCGGCCUGGGGCGAAGCCGCGAACGGGUGAGUAACACGUGGGCAAUCUGCCCCUUUGAUCGGGACAACCCGGGAAAACCCGGGCUAAUACCGGAUGAGGUGGCGACUCAUGAGAGUCGUCACGAAAGGAAGCUUCGGCCUCCGCGGAGGGAUGAGCCCGCGGCCCAUUAGCUUGUUGGUGGGGUAAUGGCCUACCAAGGCAACGAUGGGUAGCUGGUCUGAGAGGACGAUCAGCCACACUGGGACUGAGACACGGCCCAGACUCCGACGGGAGGCUGCAGUGGGGAAUCUUGCGCAAUGAGCGACAGCUUGACGCAGCAACGCCGCGUGAGGGAAGAAGGCUUUCGGGUCGUAAACCUCUUUCAGUUAGGACGAAGCUUUAUUGGUUAAUAACCAAUUGGAGUGACGGUACUUUCAGAAGAAGCCCCGGCUAACUACGUGCCAGCAGCCGCAGUAA